ensembl:lncRNA
UUUAAUUAUUAUUUAAUUAGUCAUAAAAUUCAAUAACUUCACUCUUAUAUACUGUAGUGUCACCAAAUUUGCUGGAGCCAUCAAUUAUCUCCUGCUGGUCAUACUACAACUCUUGGUUUGAUGCUAAACACAAAAUCUGAAUUUUAAGGAAUUUUUUAUUAGUAAUGAAAUUGUUGUUAUAUAUCUCAAAUAUUUUUUGUUGUAACAGAUAAAAGUGAUCAUCCAUUGUUUGGGUAGAUUGUGUAACAUUAAUCACCAAAAGUAACUGAAUUUUAAUGAUUUGGGUUGUUUAUUGCCAUGUGAAGAUGUGCACACUAUUUAGUGUGCAUGCUUGUGUGUGAAGUUUAAGGAUUAUGAGUAAAUUAGCUUUGAUGGCUCUUUUCUUGAUGUAUGUGAUGCUAUAUUUUUAGAUCCACAAUGCACCUGUUUGUCCAAAUACAUGAUACUGAAUAGUAAUGGAACCUGGAAUCCUCAUCAAAGAGAGGAUCAGAUAACACCAAUAUACCAAACUAAACUGUUUAGACUGUCUCCUCAAGUACUGAUGAUUGGGAAGAAAGACAAUAAGAUGCCUUCUUACAAGGCUGCAGCAUUAACUGAUUCAUUUAAACCAUAAUGUUAAACCGCUAAUAAUAAUUUCCAAGUUAAGGACUGUAUGAACAAUACUUGGAAGAAAAAACCUGAAGAUAUGAUCAGUCGGACCUUUUGAUGGUUGGAUGGAGUUUAUUUUUUCUGCAGUGUUUAAGAGUGAAGUGAUUGAAUUUUAUUUACUAUAAAAAAUUCCUUAAAAUUCAGAUUUUUGAUUUACUACCAAACCAAGACUUGUAGUAUGACAAUCAGGAGCCAACUGAUGGCUCCAGUGAAUUUGAUGACACUACAGUACAUAAGAGUGAAGUUAUUGAAUUUUAUGACUAAUAAAAUAAUAAUAAAAUUCAUUAAAAUUAUGAAAGAAUGUUUUUAUAUCAAACCAAGAGUUGUAGUAUGACCAGUAGGAGUCAAUUGAUGGCUCCACUGAUUUUGGUGACAAUACAAUGUAUAAGAGUGAAGUUACUGAAUUUUAUUACCAAUAAAAAUUCCUUAAAAUUCAGAUUUUGUAUUUAAUAUCAAACCAAGGGUUGUACUAUGACAGUCAGGAGACAACUAAUGGCAUCAACGAGUUUGGUGACACUACAGUACAUAAGAGUGAAGUUAAUGAAUUUUAUUACGAAUAAAAAUUAUUUAACAUUCAACUUUUGUACUUAAUAUCACACACAAGAGUUGUAGUAUGACCAGCAGGAGAUAAUUGAAGGCUCCAGUGAUUUUGGUGACGCUAAAGUAAACAAGAGUGAAGGUAUUGAAUUUUGUUACUAAUAAAAUAAUA